CCUACGGGGUGCUGCAGUGGGGAAUAUUGGACAAUGGGCGAAAGCCUGAUCCAGCCAUGCCGCGUGUGUGAAGAAGGCCUUCGGGUUGUAAAGCACUUUCAGUGGGGAAGAAAGCCUUGGGGCUAAUACCCUCGAGGAAGGACAUCACCCACAGAAGAAGCACCGGCUAACUCCGUGCCAGCAGCUGCGGUAAUACGGAGGGUGCGAGCGUUAAUCGGAAUUACUGGGCGUAAAGCGCGCGUAGGCGGUCUGAUAAGCCGGUUGUGAAAGCCCCGGGCUCAACCUGGGAACGGCAUCCGGAACUGUCAGGCUAGAGUGCAGGAGAGGAAGGUAGAAUUCCCGGUGUAGCGGUGAAAUGCGUAGAGAUCGGGAGGAAUACCAGUGGCGAAGGCGGCCUUCUGGACUGACACUGACGCUGAGGUGCGAAAGCGUGGGUAGCAAACAGGAUUAGAUACCCGGGUAGUC
rnacentral:rRNA from 1 species